CAGAGAGGGUUCGGCGAUGCGCAGAUGCCCCAUUUCCCAGUAAAGGUGACGGGGAUGAGGUCCUCUGAACAAAAGAAGAGCCAGAUGCGUUCAUGCCGAGAGGGGACUGGCCCAGAACGGCGCUUGCUGCCUUCCAGCAGCUGCGUAUGGCUCCUAGCAUUAAAUUGGCGAAACAAUAAACAAACGAGAGCGGAGCGACCCUUACCUUUGGAGAGAUCGAAUUGUUGAUCCAAUCCUCGGUCCACGGCUUUGUGCCUCUGACUGGUGGUUUAUUCAAACCGAUUGGCGUUUGCAGGCUGUAGUUUGGAGUCUCUAAAGCUGAAAGAAGAAUAAUAUUUACGUCAGGGAAUUAUUGUUUCAUAUCCAAUAAAUUGAAAUUCUUAGGAACAAAAGG